GUACAGGUGGUGCAUGGCUGUCGUCAGCUCGUGUCGUGAGAUGUGGGUUAAGUCCCGCAACGAGCGCAACCUUACCCUUAGUUGUUUCCCGAAAGGAUUACCCUCUAAGGGGACUGCCCCGGACAACGGGGAGGAAGGUGGGGAUGACGUCAAGUCCGCAUGCUCCUUACGUCUAGGGCUACACACGUCCUACAAUGGGGUCGACAGUGGGAUGCAAAGCCGCGAGGUGGAGCCAAUCCCCAAACGGCCUCUCAGUUCGGAUAGUAGUCUGCAACUCGACUACUUGAAGUCGGAAUCGCUAGUAAUGGCGGAUCAGCAUGCCGCCGUGAAUACGUUCCCGGGUCUU
rnacentral:rRNA from 1 species